AGAGCGCUGGCAAGGAAGGGCGCGCCAAGCAGACAGAGCCCAAGGCGCCCUCCAAGAACGCGCGCUACUUGGAAUCCCCCUGCCGGAAACCCGCAAAGCUGGAAAGCACCUCAUCUCAGCCCCUCAUUGCACCAAUAAGGAAGUAGGUCCCAGCGAAAAGAGGCGGCAGGGGCGGAACACACGAGCGACAGAGCUACCGUAAUUUAUUGUUAUAGAUUUGUACAACCAGAUCAGUCCUUGAAGGAUGGGAAAGAGCACUGAUAAUCACAGAAACAAAAGUGAUCCUUCACCAAAGGUAGCUUGAGAAGCACAGAGGCCUCAUCAGUAGCCUAAGAACAAUGAAGGGAAGAGACAUAUGCGACCCGAUAACAGAGCUUUCCUCAGGUUCCAGUGUCAGUUCUUUUCUUUUCUUUCUUUUUUUUAUUUUUCUGGCCUGCACCGCUUGGCAUGUGGGAUCUCAGUUCCCUGACCACGGAACGAACCUGAGCCUUCUGCCCUGGAAGCUCAGAGUCUUAACCACUGGACCGCCAGGAAAUACACUCUGGGACUUCCCUGGUGGUGCAAUGGUUAAGAAUCCGCCUGCCAAUGCAGGGGACACGAGUUCGAUCCCUGGUCCAGGAAGAUCCCACAUGUCGCGGAGCAACUAAGCCCGUGCGCCACAACUACUGAAGCCUGCGUGCCUAGAACCUGUGCUCCGCAACAAGAGAAGCCACCGCAAUGAGAAGCCUGUGCACCACAACGAAGAGUAGCCCCUGCUCGCUGCAACUAGAGAAAGACCACGUGCAGCAACUAAGACCCAACACAGCCAAAAAUAAAAAUAAAUAAAUAAAAUUGUUAAAAAAA